GUGUUCAAUUCAGCAGCACAAAGAUUAAAACUGAAAUGAUGGUGAUGAUAAAGUGGCCCUGCACAAGGAAGACCCGUAAAUCUGUGGAGCAUUUCAUAUUUCA
rnacentral:snRNA from 1 species